ACCGCUUGGCGCGCGCACGUCCCGGAGGGCGCCCAGGGGGCGCCGCUUCCCGCUCAGCUCCGCUGGGGAGGCUGGUCCAGCCUGCGCGGAUCGGAGCGGAAAGAGUCGGGCGGAGCAGGCGGCUGCUUGACGGCUGAGAGCCCAGCGGGCGGCGCGGGCAGGUCCACGGGAAGCCUACACGCCCAAGGUCAUGCCCUGACCACAGCUGCCCUUUAGGAGGCUGGCACGGAGCCACCUAGGGCUGUUGGGCUGUUUGGCAAGGGUGGGGCGCCAGCAACUUGCCACUCUUCCUCCAUGAGCCCAGCCAGAGCCUCCACUGGGCCCUUAGCACAAAAAAACCCCUGCAGGAGCCAGAUCCAGAGCGCUGGGAUUCAGCAGGAGUGCCAGGAGAAUUCAACACAGGUGUGCUUCCUCCUCUCCUGCCAGGCGUGUGGCUGCACAGGAGUCUUGCUGAUGGUAAGAAUCGGAGUUCCUGGAUUCAGGGGGUACUGGGAGAAGCCGCCUGUGAGAAGGCUGGGCCAAACAAACAAAUGUUCUGAAUGAGGAUAAGAAAACAGCGUUUCUGCCGAGGGUCUCUGAUUUUCUGUAGCCUGCCCCUGGCUUGAAAACUGUCAGCUUAGCAAAGUGGACUCUCAAACCACCUGGAUCUCAUGUUUUUUGCUUGUCAGAUUCCUUGACAGCUGCAGAAUAGGCUCAACAUCCCGCAGGGUCUGCUUCUCUGACUGGGACAAAAACGCUCAUAAGAAACUGAUGGGAGCAGCUUCACCGGGGGUGGCAGACAAUUCUGGCCAGGAGUGGGUGUCCACAGUGGGCAAGAAGUGUGGGCUCCAUGCCAGGAGCAGUGGCAACAGCUUCUAGAAAUUGUCUAAUAGCCUGACAUCCUAAAGAAUGUCCCGAAGAGCUGGAAAAGCAGUUCUUCCAGACACAUGCAGGGAGCAGCGAAAUGAGAUGCAGUAGAAGGUUGAAUCCAGCUGGGAGCACAGUGCAAUUUAGUUAAGAGUGACUUCUGUGGCAUCUGCUGGUCGUGGGUGAGGGCUGUGGGAAGAUAAUACUAAUUUGGCCAUUAUUACAUGUGUCUUCCUUGAAUCUUCAAUCAGAUUGUCAACUCUUUGAGGGUAGUAAUGGAAUAUUUUAUUUCUUUUGCAUUCUUCACAAGGUUGGGUACUCAGCCACUGUUUAUUGGUUGAGUAUUUGAUGUAUUCCGACACAAUAAACUUGACCAGGCCAGGUCCUAGAAUCUUCAUUCAUGGGAGCAGUGUUGUCACCAGUAUCUGUUGGGCACCUGCUGAGAAGGAGCGGUGGCAGGUACUUUUGCCACCCGAGUUGGCCUGAGGUUGCUGAGUGUAUGAGUUUCCUAGGGCUGCCUUAACAAAGUGCCACCAACUGGAUGAUUAACAGAAAUGUCAGGUCUCCCAGUUCUAGAGGCUAGUGGUCUACAACCAAGGUAUCAGCAGGGCCUGAUCCCUCUGUGGUAUAUAUGAGGCCCCUCCUUGCCUCGCUCUGGCUUCUGAUAAUUUGCCGGCCGACUUUGGUCUUCCUUGGCUUGCAGCUGCGUCACUCCAAUCCCUGCCUUUAUCAUCACAUGGCAUUCUCCCUGUGUGUAUGUGUUUCCAAUGUUCCCAUUUUUAUAAGGACAUCAGCCAUAUUAGGAACCACCCUACUCCAGUAUGACCUCAUCUUAACUCAUUACAUCUUCAGCAACCCCGUUUCCAAAGAAGGUCACAUUCUGAGGUACUGGGGGUUAGGACUUUGAUGUGGAGAUCACAGUUCAAGCUGCUACACUAAGUGAGCUCAUUCACAGUGACAAGACUAGGGACAUACAAAGGGCCGGGGUGAAUAUGAAUGGUGUUCUGUGGUGCUGCCUGAAAGUGACUGGCAGCAGUGUCAUCAGGGGAGCAUGUCCUCUGUUCUCAGCAUUCCCUAGGGAGGUGUGCUGAGCUGGGGCCCAGCUGGACACAUUGGAUGCUGUGCUCCAGAGGAGGAACUGCACUCACCUAUCGCUCUCCUUUGUAUGGGACAAGUGGGACAGAGCCUUGACUGGGGGAACACAUCACUGGGGUUCCAGGCAGCCUUAACUUCGAGGAAUGCCAGGAAAUUCUAUCUGCCCAGCACCUGGUGACCCUGGAGCUCCUCAGUUUCCUGGGAAGUUGAGUUUUGGAGCAGUCUCUCCCAGAGAGGCUGGGAGUGCAUCACUUUCCCCCUAGAGGCGGCGGAGGCUGCUGGGCCCAACUAGCUUAUUGCCAGGCAACCCAGAGAGAGUUCCAGACACCAGAUACUGAACAACCUACUUGUCUCCAAACCUAGUAAAGCUUGGACCCAAUGCUGCCGACUUUUCUGCCUCUCCAGUUUUGGAGCCCUUAAUGUGAAGGUGCAACCCAGAAGCCUGCAGGCUGUUCAUAGCCUGUAGAUGUGUUUUCUUCCCAGUAGCUGGUGUACACAGUGUUUCUGUAUUAUUUUUCAAAUAAGAAAUACAUUUGUGUGGUUCAAAAAUUAAAGCGCUAUAGAAAGGU
rnacentral:sRNA from 1 species